rnacentral:rRNA from 1 species
GACGAACGCUGGCGGCGUGCUUAACACAUGCCAGUCGAACGGAAAGGCCCUGCUUUUGUGGGGUGCUCGAGUGGCGAACGGGUGAGUAACACGUGAGUAACCUGCCCUUGACUUUGGGAUAACUUCAGGAAACUGGGGCUAAUACCGGAUAGGAGCUCCUGCUGCAUGGUGGGGGUUGGAAAGUUUCGGCGGUUGGGGAUGGACUCGCGGCUUAUCAGCUUGUUGGUGGGGUAGUGGCUCACCAAGGCUUUGACGGGUAGCCGGCCUGAGAGGGUGACCGGCCACAUUGGGACUGAGAUACGGCCCAGACUCCUACGGGAGGCAGCAGUGGGGAAUAUUGCACAAUGGGCGGAAGCCUGAUGCAGCAACGCCGCGUGCGGGAUGACGGCCUUCGGGUUGUAAACCGCUUUCGCCUGUGACGAAGCGUGAGUGACGGUAAUGGGUAAAGAAGCACCGGCUAACUACGUG